AACCAGAAAACGUGUGAAUACCAAUGGAUAAAAGAAAUCAAUAAAAUUAAUUCGAUCUCACAAAUAUUUGGAACCGCGUCUUCAAAUUAUCCUUUGACUAGAAAAAGGAGUUAGUUCAUCUUCAUGGAGGAAAUCCCACGCAAAAUUGCAGAAGUAAUUAUCCCAAAAACCAAGCUAUGUUCCCCGUCGUCCCUCUGGAAGGGACGAAAAAGAGGAAAAGAAAAAUCA
rnacentral:lncRNA from 1 species